AAAAAUACCAUAAUUAUUGCUCUAUUGUUUUUUUGUUUUGCAGAAAAAAGUAAAAGAAAAGCAAGAUCCAGAAACCGAGUCGCUCAACUGCCUCGAUUCCGAUUGAUCUCCGCCAUCGAAACCUUUUCUUAUUUGCCACUUAUUGCCACGCAGAACAACUGUUCAAAUCAGCUCCGACCACCACGACGUAUGCAGAUCCGACACCUCUGCCAUCACGCUUCUAGCCACCCAGACCACGAGCUUGAUUCCGACGACAUACUGCCCUCCACCACAAAACGAAGAUCUGAGGAAAUCAAAGCAGAGAAAAAGAAAUGA